CGUAAUGGUAAUUCAACUUAGUUCGAGAGGAACCGUUGAUUCAGAUAAUUGGUCUUGGCACUUGGCUGAGAAGCUAUUGGUGCGGAGCUACCAUCUGUCGGAUUAUGGCUGAACGCCUCUAAGCCAGAAGCCUUGCUAGAAACGACGAUAUAUAGUCCCUCCUGGUUUCGAUUUGAUAUCCACAGGGCAUGGUUUGAGAAAAGUGAAGAUAUUGCAGGAUUUAGGAAGACCUUUUUGGUUUCUCUCCGUCUCUCUCUCUCCUUACUUUUUCUCGUUCCAGCUUAGCCCCUGUAAAUCGGAGUAACGGCGAACAAGAGGUUGACGGAGAUUGAGCGUUCUUUUUAUCCUUUGGUUAAGGGGUCUCUCUGUCUCUCGAUUCUGUUAAAGGAGUGGGAAGGUAGUUUUUUUUUCUUUUUUCUAGGGCUAUCUUCUCUUGAUCUCUUGUCAAACAAACGUUUUUCACGCUACGGAUGUUGUACGUGAUGCCGGUUCAGCUCUUCCUUCCUUAUAGGUAGGGUUGAUAUUACAUUCUCAGUUUUUGAUUUUUUCCCAAAAAAAAAAAAGAGAGAGAGAAAAGAAGGCGGACCUGGAGGGGGAGAUCCCUUGUAGACGACUUGGAAGCGGGGACAGGUAUUGUAAGGAGUAGAGUAGCCUAGCUUUUUUUGCUACGAUCUCUUGAGAUUUAGCCUGAGCCACCUUGAUC
rnacentral:rRNA from 9 species